UAGGGAAUCUUCGGCAAUGGGGGGAACCCUGACCGAGCAACGCCGCGUGAGUGAAGAAGGUUUUCGGAUCGUAAAGCUCUGUUGUUAAGGAAGAACGAGUGUGAGAAUGGAAAGUUCAUACUGUGACGGUACUUAACCAGAAAGGGACGGCUAACUACGUGCCAGCAGCCGCGGUAAUACGUAGGUCCCGAGCGUUGUCCGGAUUUAUUGGGCGUAAAGCGAGCGCAGGCGGUUAGAUAAGUCUGAAGUUAAAGGCAGUGGCUCAACCAUUGUAGGCUUUGGAAACUGUUUAACUUGAGUGCAGAAGGGGAGAGUGGAAUUCCAUGUGUAGCGGUGAAAUGCGUAGAUAUAUGGAGGAACACCGGUGGCGAAAGCGACUCUCUGGUCUGUAACUGACGCUGAGGCUCGAAAGCGUGGGGAGCGAACAGG
rnacentral:rRNA from 1 species